AACGAACGCUGGCGGCAUGCCUAACACAUGCAAGUCGAACGAGACCUUCGGGUCUAGUGGCGCACGGGUGCGUAACGCGUGGGAAUCUGCCCUUGGGUUCGGAAUAACAGUUGGAAACGACUGCUAAUACCGGAUGAUGACGUAAGUCCAAAGAUUUAUCGCCCAAGGAUGAGCCCGCGUAGGAUUAGCUAGUUGGUGAGGUAAAGGCUCACCAAGGCGACGAUCCUUAGCUGGUCUGAGAGGAUGAUCAGCCACACUGGGACUGAGACACGGCACAGACUCCUACGGGAGGCAGCAGUGGGGAAUAUUGGACAAUGGGCGAAAGCCUGAUCCAGCAAUGCCGCGUGAGUGAUGAAGGCCUUAGGGUUGUAAAGCUCUUUUACCCGGGAUGAUAAUGACAGUACCGGGAGAAUAAGCUCCGGCUAACUCCGUG
rnacentral:rRNA from 1 species